rnacentral:rRNA from 1 species
GACGAACGCUGGCGGCGCGCCUAACACAUGCAAGUCGAACGGAGCUUAGAGAGCUUGCUUUUUAAGCUUAGUGGCGAACGGGUGAGUAACGCGUGAGUAACCUGCCCUAGAGUGGGGGACAACAGUUGGAAACGACUGCUAAUACCGCAUAAGCCCACGGUAUCGCAUGGUACUGAGGGAAAAGGAUUUAUUCGCUUUAGGAUGGACUCGCGUCCAAUUAGCUAGUUGGUGAGGUAACGGCCCACCAAGGCGACGAUUGGUAGCCGGACUGAGAGGUUGAACGGCCACAUUGGGACUGAGACACGGCCCAGACUCCUACGGGAGGCAGCAGUGGGGGAUAUUGCACAAUGGGGGAAACCCUGAUGCAGCGACGCCGCGUGGAGGAAGAAGGUUUUCGGAUUGUAAACUCCUGUCGUUAGGGACGAUAAUGACGGUACCUAACAAGAAAGCACCGGCUAACUACGUGCCAGCAGCCGCGGUAAAACGUAGGGUGCAAACGUUGUCCGGAAUUACUGGGUGUAAAGGGAGCGCAGGCGGGAAGACAAGUUGGAAGUGAAAACCAUGGGCUCAACCCAUGAAUUGCUUUCAAAACUGUUUUUCUUGAGUAGUGCAGAGGUAGAUGGAAUUCCCGGUGUAGCGGUGGAAUGCGUAGAUAUCGGGAGGAACACCAGUGGCGAAGGCGGUCUACUGGGCACCAACUGACGCUGAGGCUCGAAAGCAUGGGUAGCAAACAGGAUUAGAUCCCCUGGUAGUCCAUGCCGUAAA